AACGAACGCUGGCGGCAGGCCUAACACAUGCAAGUCGAGCGCACCUUCGGGUGAGCGGCGGACGGGUGAGUAACGCGUGGGAAUAUGCCCAGAUCUGCGGAAUAGCCUCUGGAAACGGAGAGUAAUACCGCAUACGCCCUUCGGGGGAAAGAUUUAUCGGAUUUGGAUUAGCCCGCGUUGGAUUAGGUAGUUGGUGGGGUAAUGGCCUACCAAGCCGACGAUCCAUAGCUGGUUUGAGAGGAUGAUCAGCCACACUGGGACUGAGACACGGCCCAGACUCCUACGGGAGGCAGCAGUGGGGAAUCUUAGACAAUGGGGGAAACCCUGAUCUAGCCAUGCCGCGUGAGUGACGAAGGCCCUAGGGUCGUAAAGCUCUUUCGCCAGGGAAGAUAAUGACGGUACCUGGUAAAGAAACCCCGGCUAACUCCG
rnacentral:rRNA from 1 species